rnacentral:rRNA from 1 species
UCCGUAGGUGACUGCGGAGGAUCAUUACCGAGUGAGGGCCCUCUGGGUCCAACCUCCCACCCGUGUUUAUUUUACCUUGUUGCUUCGGCGGGCCCGCCUUAACUGGCCGCCGGGGGGCUUACGCCCCCGGGCCCGCGCCCGCCGAAGACACCCUCGAACUCUGUCUGAAGAUUGAAGUCUGAGUGAAAAUAUAAAUUAUUUAAAACUUUCAACAACGGAUCUCUUGGUUCCGGCAUCGAUGAAGAACGCAGCGAAAUGCGAUACGUAAUGUGAAUUGCAAAUUCAGUGAAUCAUCGAGUCUUUGAACGCACAUUGCGCCCCCUGGUAUUCCGGGGGGCAUGCCUGUCCGAGCGUCAUUGCUGCCCUCAAGCCCGGCUUGUGUGUUGGGCCCCGUCCCCCGAUCUCCGGGGGACGGGCCCGAAAGGCAGCGGCGGCACCGCGUCCGGUCCUCGAGCGUAUGGGGCUUUGUCACCCGCUCUGUAGGCCCGGCCGGCGCUUGCCGAUCAACCCAAAUUUUUAUCCAGGUUGACCUCGGAUCAGGUAGGGAUACCCGCUGAACUUAAGCAUAUCAAUA